CGAAAGGCGUAGUCGAUGGGAAACAGGUUAAUAUUCCUGUACUUGGUGUUACUGCGAAGGGGGGACGGAGAAGGCUAUGUUGGCCGGGCGACGGUUGUCCCGGUUUAAGCGUGUAGGCUGGUUUUCCAGGCAAAUCCGGAAAAUCAAGGCUGAGGCGUGAUGACGAGGCACUACGGUGCUGAAGCAACAAAUGCCCUGCUUCCAGGAAAAGCCUCUAAGCAUCAGGUAACAUCAAAUCGUACCCCAAACCGACACAGGUGGUCAGGUAGAGAAUACCAAGGCGCUUGAGAGAACUCGGGUGAAGGAACUAGGCAAAAUGGUGCCGUAACUUCGGGAGAAGGCACGCUGAUAUGUAGGUGAAGUCCCUCGCGGAUGGAGCUGAAAUCAGUCGAAGAUACCAGCUGGCUGCAACUGUUUAUUAAAAACACAGCACUGUGCAAACACGAAAGUGGACGUAUACGGUGUGACGCCUGCCCGGUGCCGGAAGGUUAAUUGAUGGGGUUAGCGGUAACGCGAAGCUCUUGAUCGAAGCCCCGGUAAACGGCGGCCGUAACUAUAACGGUCCUAAGGUAGCGAAAUUCCUUGUCGGGUAAGUUCCGACCUGCACGAAUGGCGUAAUGAUGGCCAGGCUGUCUCCACCCGAGACUCAGUGAAAUUGAACUCGCUGUGAAGAUGCAGUGUACCCGCGGCAAGACGGAAAGACCCCGUGAACCUUUACUAUAGCUUGACACUGAACAUUGAGCCUUGAUGUGUAGGAUAGGUGGGAGGCUUUGAAGUGUGGACGCCAGUCUGCAUGGAGCCGACCUUGAAAUACCACCCUUUAAUGUUUGAUGUUCUAACGUUGGCCCCUGAUCGGGGUUGCGGACAGUGUCUGGUGGGUAGUUUGACUGGGGCGGUCUCCUCCUAAAGAGUAACGGAGGAGCACGAAGGUUGGCUAAUCCUGGUCGGACAUCAGGAGGUUAGUGCAAUGGCAUAAGCCAGCUUGACUGCGAGCGUGACGGCGCGAGCAGGUGCGAAAGCAGGUCAUAGUGAUCCGGUGGUUCUGAAUGGAAGGGCCAUCGCUCAACGGAUAAAAGGUACUCCGGGGAUAACAGGCUGAUACCGCCCAAGAGUUCAUAUCGACGGCGGUGUUUGGCACCUCGAUGUCGGCUCAUCACAUCCUGGGGCUGAAGUAGGUCCCAAGGGUAUGGCUGUUCGCCAUUUAAAGUGGUACGCGAGCUGGGUUUAGAACGUCGUGAGACAGUUCGGUCCCUAUCUGCCGUGGGCGCUGGAGAACUGAGGGGGGCUGCUCCUAGUACGAGAGGACCGGAGUGGACGCAUCACUGGUGUUCGGGUUGUCAUGCCAAUGGCACUGCCCGGUAGCUAAAUGCGGAAGAGAUAAGUGCUGAAAGCAUCUAAGCACGAAACUUGCC
rnacentral:rRNA from 1 species